rnacentral:tRNA from 1 species
GGAGAGAUGUCCGAGAGGCUUAAGGAGCACGCUUGGAAAGCGUGUGUUGCGUGCAAACGUACCGUGGGUUCGAAUCCCACUCUCUCCG